CACGGAGUUAGCCGGUGCUUCUUCUGUAGUUAACGUCAAUCACCUAGUCUAUUAAACUAAAUGCCUUCCUCGCUACCGAAAGAACUUUACAACCCGAAGGCCUUCUUCAUUCACGCGGCAUGGCUGCGUCAGGGUUGCCCCCAUUGCGCAAUAUUCCCCACUGCUGCCUCCCGUAGGAGUCUGGGCCGUGUCUCAGUCUCAGUGUGGCUGGUCAUCCUCUCAGACCAGCUAGAGAUCGUCGGCUUGGUGAGCCUUUACCUCACCAACUACCUAAUCCCACUUGGGCUCAUCCUAUGGCAUGUGGCCCGAAGGUCCCACACUUUCAUCUCCCGAUUCUACGCGGUAUUAGCUACAGUUUCCCGUAGUUACUCCCCCUCCAUAAGCCAGAUUCCCAAGCAUUACUCACCCGUCCGCCACUCGUCAUCAAAGAGCAAGCUUCUUUAUGUUACCGUUCGACUUGCAUGUGUUAAGCCUGCCGCCAGCGUUCAAUCUGAGCC
rnacentral:rRNA from 1 species